AGUGAACGCUGGCGGUAGGCCUAACACAUGCAAGUCGAACGGCAGCACCGUAAGAGCUUGCUCUUACGGGUGGCGCGUGGCGGACGGGUGCGGAAUACACCGGAAUCCACUUUUUCGUGGGGGAUAACGCAGGGAAACUUACGCUAAUACAGCAUACGACCUACGUGUGAAAGCAGGGGAUUUUCGGACCUUGCGCGAUUGAAUGACCCGAUGUCGGAUUAGCUAGUUGGCGGGGUAAAGGCCCACCAAGGCGACGAUCCGUAGCUGGUCUGAGAGGAUGAUCAGCCACACUGGAACUGAGACACGGUCCAGACUCCUACGGGAGGCAGCAGUGGGGAAUAUUGGACAAUGGGCGCAAGCCUGAUCCAGCCAUACCGCGUGGGUGAAGAAGGCCUUCGGGUUGUAAAGCCCUUUUGUUGGGAAAGAAAAGCAGCAGGUUAAUACCCCGCUGUUCUGACGGUACCCAAAGAAUAAGCACCGGCUAACUUCGUG
rnacentral:rRNA from 1 species